rnacentral:lncRNA from 1 species
UUUUACAUAACCAUUGAGAAGAGGGAGGCAAGCUGCUUUCUGUGAAGCAGUAUUGGGUAAACGAUUGAAAUGUUCUUCAGCCGCUGUUAAAUUACCAACCUUGAUGAGUAACUUCACUUUAGUGGCAUGAGCAACAGCUGACAUUUGUAAGCCCUUCUGAGUUUCUUGCCAUGUCAAAAUCUGUUCGUUUCAGAGAGUAAAUAUAAUACAAAAUCAAAGCCAUUGAAAACCCAUUAAAAUAAAUUAAUAAAAUACACUUUUGCCUGGAAAAUGUUCCCUACCAAUUAAAAAGAAUGAAGGUUUUGUUUUUUGUUUUUGUUUUUAUAGAUAUUGCAAUAUCAACAAAUUCAGAAGAAGAAAUUGAGAAAGGAACCUCAAGGGCAUGAUUGUAGCGCCCAGAUUUGUGGAGAAUUUGGGUAAUGGAUAGGAGCUGCGGAAUGUCAACUUUCUGACCCGAAU